CCUAGCGGCAGACGGGUGCGUAACAUGUGGGAAUCUGCCUUUUGGUUCGGAAUAACACGAGGAAACUUGUGCUAAUACCGGAUAAGCCCUUACGGGGAAAGUUUUAAUGCCAAAAGAUGAGCCCGCACUUGAUUAGCUAGUUGGUAAGGUAAUGGCUUACCAAGGCAACGAUCAAUAGCUGUUCUUAGAGGAAGACCAGCCACAUUGGGACUGAGACACGGCCCAGACUCC
rnacentral:rRNA from 1 species